CCUACGUGAGGCAGCAGUGAGGAAUAUUGGUCAAUGGGCGCGAGCCUGAACCAGCCAAGUAGCGUGAAGGAUGACUGCCCUACGGGUUGUAAACUUCUUUUAUAAAGGAAUAAAGUGAGGCACGUGUGCCUUUUUGUAUGUACUUUAUGAAUAAGGAUCGGCUAACUCCGUGCCAGCAGCCGCGGUAAUACGGAGGAUCCGAGCGUUAUCCGGAUUUAUUGGGUUUAAAGGGAGCGUAGAUGGGUUGUUAAGUCCGUUGUGAAAGUUUGCGGCUCAACCGUAAAAUUGCAAUUGAUACUGGCAGUCUUGAGUACAGUUGAGGUAGGCGGAAUUCGUGGUGUAGCGGUGAAAUGCUUAGAUAUCACGAAGAACUCCGAUUGCGAAGGCAGCUUACUAAACUGCCACUGACAUUGAUGCUCGAAAGUGUGGGUAUCAAACAGGAUUAGAUACCCUUGUAGUC
rnacentral:rRNA from 1 species